rnacentral:lncRNA from 13 species
GAGGUUGCAGUCAGCUGAGAUUGCACCACUGCACUCCCAGCCUGGCAACACAACAAGACUCUGUCUCAAAAAAAAAAAAAAAAAAAAUUGAUUCCUGGGUUUUAACCCAGAUCAAUUAAUUCAGAAUCUCCAGGCAUAAGGCCUAGGCAUUCACAUUUUUUCAGAUCUCCCCAACUAAUUCUAAUGUGCAUCCUGGACUGAGAACCACUGGCCUUGGCCUUCCCUUAUCACUCAUUCAUUCAGCAAAUAUUUACUGGGUGUUUACCAUAUGCCAGGCAUCUCCCAAGGUGCUGGGGACUGGAAACUGAAUUAAGCAAAGAUUCCAGCCUUCAGGGAACUUACCUUCUAGUGCUUCCUCCGUAGGGGGUGCCUCAAGGCUUCAGAGCACAGGCUUUAGAAACAGGCCCCAUUCUAAACCACAUCCCACCACAGGCAGCGGAAUCCUGGGCAUGUGCCAGCCACUCUUGAGUCUCCUUCAUUGUGUCCAUGGCUGAAAUAUGGCUCAUCAUACCGGCUUCACCAGAUGGAGUCUCGCUCUGUCGCCAGGCUGGAGUACAGUGUUGCGAUCUCGGCUCACUGCAACCUCUGCCUCCCAGGUUCAAGCAAUUCUAUUGCUUCAGCCUCCCAAGAGGUGGGAUUACAAGUGGGUGCCGCCACACCCUGUUCGUUUUUGUAUUUUUAAUAGAGACGGGGUUUUACCAUGUUGCUAGUCUCGAAUUCCUGACAUCAAGUGAUCCGUUUGGCCUGCCAAAGUGCCGAGAUUACAGGGCAUGAGCCACCACACCCGGCCACAAUUAAACAAAUUUAAAGUAAAAUCUGAAAACCUGUUUGAGAAGGAAAAAAAAUUAAAAGAAGCUUUUUGAGCAAAGUGCAGGAGGAGAAGGAGGAAACAAAUGUCAUAACUGCUUCCCUCCUGCCAACUGGUUGACUACAGAAACUUUGCACCUUAUAAAAGGUGGUUUCACACAUGCAAGGGCCCAGCUGGAGCAACAGGUGAGAGAGCCACGGGAAUAAGUCUGAGGAACAACAAAUGGUGCAAACCUUUGAUGAGGCUGGCGAGGAGGGCAGGAGGUGACAAAGCCCCUGAGAGAAUGAUCUGAAGGAAUCUUAGACAUCAUGUGUUCCACCGUCUGUGCCUAAAGGACCUGCUUGUAGGUCGUACACCGGUUAGUACAAAGUCUGGGAAAAGAGAAGUCCCAGGACUCCCCACCGCUCUUCCUCCUCACCCAGCAAAUGGGAACAGCAGAUCUGGAGAAAAUAUUUAAAUCCACAAAGCAGGCACAGCCCUGUGAUCUGAGUUAAUCUCACCAUCCACCCUAUUCUGACUCCUCCAGGGGAUGGAGUCUCAAGGGAAACUCAGGCUUUAAUGAUCUGGGCCACCUUGCAUUCCAAUGGCCUGCUACCAUGAGCUCUCCAGAUGCCAGUGGCAAAGAGGACCCCUCCAGUCUGACGUGUUGGGUCCAGAAAAAAAUUCUCUCUAAACCACUUCUGCAGGAUUCUUGCAGAAACUGAGGCCAAAGGGUGAGACCUAGACGAAGCUCUCGUCAAAGAGAGUUUUGAGAGUUUUUGUCCAACCUUCCCCUUGUGCAAAGAAAGGACAUUUUUCUUUCCUCUGAACAAUGUAAGUCUGUUCCUUGUUCAGUUGCCUUUAUUCAUUAAGGAGUAGCUGAACCAUGUGUGGAGAUUUGGUAGGAGAGAAUGUUUAAUGAGUCAAAUUUCUAUGAAAAUAAAAAGCAAUACAAAGAUGAGUGGUUGGAGCA